ensembl:antisense A230020J21Rik RIKEN cDNA A230020J21 gene
CAGUUAUCUAGACGUUCCAGUCUUUACCUGAUUGCCCAGCACUGCUGUGGCACAAGCCGUCGACACCUCCUUGGGUCCAAACCAUACCGAGGCGACGGGGGAGGGCAAGCCCAGGAUGAAGACCUGGGCCACGGAGCACAGGAUCUGCCCCAGCAUGGUGACCCAGAAGAGGUGCCGCUGCACGCUGCCGCACUUGACCCAGGCUCCCAGGCAGUUGAGGCCGGAGCCCAGCAGCGCCGUGAGCCGCAGGCCUCGCGUGUCCAGCAGCCAGGUGGCCGGGAAGAUGAGGGGCACGUAGGCCACCAUGUACACCAUGGACAGCCAGUUGAUGUGCAGCGGCGACACCUCGUAGAAGUCCUCGAACACGUUGCUGAUGCUGCUGUACUGGAUCCACUGGAAGGCGUUCACCAGCGAGUAAAGGCUGAAGAUGAGCAGCACCACGAAGCGCCUCGGCGACAGCGCUGUGCGCGGGGGACACGCGGGGCAUGGGACGUCCUCCCCGUCGCCCGCGGGCAACAGCCGGGCCUGGGUCUCCUCCUCCGCCGCUAUCAGGGCUUGCGGCCCGCCCUGGGCUCCCGCGACCAGCGGGCCGAGCCCGGGGCCUCCGUUCAGCGCCUCAGGCCCGUUUUGCGGUACCAAGCGCGCCUCCCCGUCCGGGGCGCCCUUGGGCACUGGAAGGUAUCCCUUCCCCAGCGGGUGCCCGGGCGCCACGGCCGGCCCCACCUCGUCAUCGGGCCGCGCCAUGCCUCCCGGCUCCCCGCCCCGCCGCCCCUUAGUGCUCCUCGCCGGCUCCUAGGUCCCACCCGGUUCAGCGCGCUCGCCUGCGCCGCUUGCUGA